rnacentral:lncRNA from 1 species
UCCAAUGAUUCUCAGCCUAGGUGAAGAGACUUUUUCAAACCACCCUCAGGAGAUUUGAUGUGCAUCGACCUUCUGCCACCAAGACUCAACUAUCAGCUCCUUGAAGUUGGGGCUCCGUCUUACACAGUGGAUGUGCGCACACUUGCCCCGUCUUUGAGUACUGCUGAAGAGAAGCUGUGGCAUUUAUUCCUGGAUAGUUAAUGGACUGUGUAAAGGUAACACAACCCAAACUGAAUCACCCGAAAUGACGGCUCUGCCAGUGUUCCCCACCACAACAGACAGCUCCACAGCCGCCCAGGUGAGCCGGCCACGCCCUUAGAGCUCCCCUUUCCUCUCACACCUCGUUUUCAGAACUUCAGCAAAGUACGUCCAGAUUCUGACUACUUCACAUUUCUGCCACUGAUUCCAUCCCAGAGCAAAUCAUCAUGCUGCUCCUUUUCCUAUUUUUUUUUUUCUGAAGGAAAUAAAGAAGCAGCCAUGA